CGUACCCCUCACAAAGGAUAAGGAUAAUGGCAAGGGUGACUAAGACAUGAAAAACACCCAGCUACCAAGACGACGGCUUCAGUAUGAAAACACAAUUCGAAACGGAUAAUAUCAAUUCGUAACUACCCAUUGGCUAUAUCGAUGGUCCAUUUUGUUUACGGGGUUCACAGUGACUAACGACUUUCAAUGAGAUAUAUAGGCAUGUGAUGGCAGGAGUAGCCACUCAUCUACAUUCCAGCUUCUCAGGUGACAUUGGACAUGCACCAAAUGUUGCAGUAAGGCCAGGAAACUAGAAGUGUGCUUCACAGGUGACAUUGGACAUGCACCAAAUGUUGCAGUAAGGCCAGGAAACUAGAAGUGUGCUUCACAGGUGACCCUUGACAAAUCGAAUUCGGACUGAGACGCCAUGGGAAACUUUAACCCCAGCCCCGCCUAGGUACCCCCAUCCCCACCUAGGUACCCCCAUCCCUCACAACUACCCAAGAUAGGCUAGCAACGUCCACAAACAAAUGCGUAGGAUGCCAGGCUAAAGACCUUGGCCAAAUAAUCACAACAUUAGG